GCGAUUAUGGUGAAGUGGUUAACACACCAGAUUGUGGCUCUGGCAUACGUGGGUUCGAUCCCCACUAAUCGCCCCA
rnacentral:tRNA from 1 species